rnacentral:rRNA from 1 species
AUUGAACGCUGGCGGCAUGCCUUACACAUGCAAGUCGAACGGUAACAGGUUAAGCUGACGAGUGGCGAACGGGUGAGUAAUGUAUCGGAACGUGCCCAGUCGUGGGGGAUAACUACUCGAAAGAGUGGCUAAUACCGCAUACGACCUGAGGGUGAAAGCGGGGGACCGUAAGGCCUCGCGCGAUUGGAGCGGCCGAUAUCAGAUUAGCUAGUUGGUGGGGUAAAAGCCCACCAAGGCGACGAUCUGUAGCUGGUCUGAGAGGACGACCAGCCACACUGGGACUGAGACACGGCCCAGACUCCUACGGGAGGCAGCAGUGGGGAAUUUUGGACAAUGGGCGCAAGCCUGAUCCAGCAAUGCCGCGUGCAGGAAGAAGGCCUUCGGGUUGUAAACUGCUUUUGUACGGAACGAAUCGGUCCUGGCUAAUACCUGGGGCUAAUGACGGUACCGUAAGAAUAAGCACCGGCUAACUACGUGCCAGCAGCCGCGGUAACAC